UACGUAGGGUGCGAGCGUUAAUCGGAAUUACUGGGCGUAAAGCGUGCGCAGGCGGUUUUGUAAGCCAGAUGCGAAAUCCCCGGGCUUAACCUGGGAAUGGCAUUUGGGACUGCAAGGCUGGAGUGUGGCAGAGGAGACUGGAAUUCCCGGUGUAGCAGUGAAAUGCGUAGAUAUCGGGAGGAAUACCGAUGGCGAAGGCAGGUCUCUGGGCUGACACUGACGCUCAUGCACGAAAGCGUGGGGAGCAAACAGG
rnacentral:rRNA from 1 species